rfam:Biomphalaria glabrata isolate BB02 unplaced genomic scaffold LGTN_random_Scaffold386, whole genome shotgun sequence.
UGGCUGAGUGGUAAAGCACUUGGCUUCUGAAUCAGGGACCCAGGUUCGAAUCCUGG